rnacentral:rRNA from 1 species
UAGUAACGGCUAAUGCGUAAAUGCGUUCAACGGUUGGUUGCGGUUUUGAGUGGUGACAGCAGCAGAGCGAGUGGCCGGCGAGGGUAUAUAGGCGAGUGAGGCGGCGAGGUUGGUUAAAGAUGCGGGUAUCCCCCCUCUCUCUCUCUCUCUCUCUUUCUCUCUCUCUCUCUCUCUCUUUGUCCCUCCCUCGGCGACCGUACUUGACGCAGUUCUAAGAGCAUGACGAGAGGGACUAGGGAGAGCGCGACUCCCCUCGCCGCGAAGAGCAGCAGGGCAGUGGUAGGAGGGGACUGAGACGUAGUGCGUGGCCGCAGAACCGAGGCCAUGUCCGCCUCGUCACCUCCGUCCUCGCCUCCUCCUGCCGCCCAGCAGUCCGAGCCCCGCCGGCGCGGUGGUGGUAGCGGGGGAAGCGGGGCGCCGCCAAGCCGCCGAAGAAGGCCCUGCUGUUCUCCAAGCGCGGGUGCCCCAGGUUGGGCGACGUGUUGGACACUAGCCGCCGGCCACCCCAACUGACGAAGCCGGAGAGACAGAAACGUUUCAGAUGGACUGACCACGUCAUGCCAGGACUUCUGAGAAAAACCCCUUCAAAUGUCACCAAGUGAGUCAAAUCGGUGAGCAAGUUCCCCUAAACGCGAAAGGGUAGCAUUGACUUGACAGGUACAACCACGGUUCUUAACGUCGAAGGAGGUUACCAUUUGCUCCCUUUUUCCUCGUAGCAACCGUGCUAAUGUAGCGUCGUAUUUCAGUGAAACUAUAUCACGUUGAGAAGGAGGACUCGGACCGUUGGACUUCUUAAAAGUUGGC